rnacentral:misc_RNA from 1 species
GAUGAAGAACGUAGCGAAAUGCGAUAAGUAGUGUGAAUUGCAGAAUUCAGUGAAUCAUCGAAUCUUUGAACGCGCAUUGCGCCCUUUGGGAUUCCAAAGGGCAUGCCUGUUCGAGCGUCAUUUGUACCCUCAAGCUUUGCUUGGUGUUGGGCGUCUUGUCUCUAGCUUUGCUGGAGACUCGCCUUAAAGUAAUUGGCAGCCGGCCUACUGGUUUCGGAGCGCAGCACAAGUCGCACUCUCUAUCAGCAAAGGUCUAGCAUCCAUUAAGCCUUUUUUUCAACUUUUGACCUCGGAUCAGGUAGGGAUACCCGCUGAACUUAAGCAUAUCAAUAAGCGGAGGA